rnacentral:rRNA from 1 species
GAUGAACGCUGGCGGCGUGCUUAAUACAUGCAAGUCGAGCGCACAAAUAAGGCGCUCUCGCCGUUGGCGUUGCCGACGGAUGGGUAAGUCACACGUAGGUAGCCUACCUCUAUGACUUAACUAACUCCGGCGGGCCCUAGCUCAUGCCGGAUAACGUUUAGCACCGGAUGGUUCUAAGGAGAGAGAUGUUUUGGCUGUCACUGAUAGAUGGCCCCUCGCCGUAUUAGCUAGUUGGUAGGGUACCGGCUUACCGAGGGAACGAUACGUAGCCGACAUGAGAGGGGGAACGGCCACACGGGAACUGAGACACGGUCCAGGCUCCUAAGGGAGGCAGCAGGAGGGAAUGGGGCGCAAUGGGCGAAAGCCUGACGGAGCAUGGAGGCGUGAGUGGUGAAGGUCUUCGGAUUGUAAGACUUUGUUAUUAGGGAAGAACGAUUGAGUAAGUGAUUUGGGUUGUCGUGACGGUAGCGAAUAAGAAAGCCACGGCUAACUACGUG